ACCGCAAAUAGACACCUCUAUCUAAAUAGAAAAGGCUUUUUUAGUAUAAAUGCUAUGAUUGCUUGCGAUCAUGACAUGAAUAUCCGGUUUGUGGAUGCUAGAUAUGCUGGUUCUACACAUGAUUCGUUCGUGUGGAACAAUAGUUCAUUAAAGACUUAUUUGGAGAAUAUGCAUCAAAGUGGCGAUCAUAACUCUAUUUAUUUAGGUGAUUCCGGAUACCC